AACGUAGGAGACAAACGUUAUCCGGAGUUACUGGGCGUAAAGGGCGUGUAGGUGGUUUCGUAAGUCUGGCGUGAAAUUUCUCGGCUUAACCGAGGCAGGUCGUCGGAUACUGCGGAACUUGAGGACGGUAGAGGCGUGUGGAAUUCCUGGUGUAGCGGUGAAAUGCGCAGAUAUCAGGAGGAACACCAAUUGCGAAGGCAGCUCGCUGGGACGUUACUGACGCUGAGACGCGAAAGCGUGGGGAGCAAACAGG
rnacentral:rRNA from 1 species